rnacentral:rRNA from 1 species
GGGGCGGGGCAAGCGUUGUUCGGAAUUACUGGGCGUAAAGGGCUCGUAGGCGGCCAACUAAGUCGGACGUGAAAUCCCCAGGCUCAACCUGGGAACUGCGUCCGAUACUGGAUGGCUUGAAUCCGGGAGAGGGAUGCAGAAUUCCAGGUGUAGCGGUGAAAUGCGUAGAUAUCUGGAGGAAUACCGGUGGCGAAGGCGGCAUCCUGGACCGGCAUUGACGCUGAGGAGCGAAAGCCAGGGGAGCAAACGGGAUUAGAUACCCCGGUAGUCCUGGCCCUAAACGAUGAAUGCUUGGUGUAACGGGUAUCGAUCCCUGUUGUGCCGAAGCWAACGCAUUAAGCAUUCCGCCUGGGGAGUACGGUCGCAAGGCUG